rnacentral:rRNA from 1 species
CUUUCCCUCUUCCUUUCGGCCUAACACAUGCAAGUCGAACGGCAGCACAGUAAGAGCUUGCUCUUACGGGUGGCGAGUGGCGGACGGGUGAGGAAUACAUCGGAAUCUACUUUUUCGUGGGGGAUAACGUAGGGAAACUUACGCUAAUACCGCAUACGACCUACGGGUGAAAGCAGGGGAUCUUCGGACCUUGCGCGAUUGAAUGAGCCGAUGUCGGAUUAGCUAGUUGGCGGGGUAAAGGCCCACCAAGGCGACGAUCCGUAGCUGGUCUGAGAGGAUGAUCAGCCACACUGGAACUGAGACACGGUCCAGACUCCUACGGGAGGCAGCAGUGGGGAAUAUUGGACAAUGGGCGCAAGCCUGAUCCAGCCAUACCGCGUGGGUGAAGAAGGCCUUCGGGUUGUAAAGCCCUUUUGUUGGGAAAGAAAAGCAGCAGGUUAAUACCCCGCUGUUCUGACGGUACCCAAAGAAUAAGCACCGGCUAACUUCGUG